UACGGAGGGUGCAAGCGUUAAUCGGAAUUACUGGGCGUAAAGCGCGCGUAGGCGGCUUGGUCAGUCAGAUGUGAAAGCCCCGGGCUCAACCUGGGAAUUGCAUUUGAUACUGCCAAGCUAGAGUAUGGUAGAGGGUGGUGGAAUUCCAGGUGUAGCGGUGAAAUGCGUAGAUAUCUGGAGGAACAUCAGUGGCGAAGGCGGCCACCUGGACCAAUACUGACGCUGAGGUGCGAAAGCGUGGGGAGCAAACAGG
rnacentral:rRNA from 1 species